rnacentral:rRNA from 1 species
UGGGGAAUCUUGCGCAAUGGGCGAAAGCCUGACGCAGCGAUGCCGCGUGGGGGAUGAAGGCUCUCGGGUCGUAAACCCCUUUCAGCAGGGACGAAAAUGACGGUACCUGCAGAAGAAGCCCCGGCCAACUACGUGCCAGCAGCCGCGGUAACACGUAGGGGGCAAGCGUUGUCCGGAUUUAUUGGGCGUAAAGAGCUCGUAGGCGGUUCGGUAAGUCAGGUGUGAAAGCCCAAGGCUCAACCUUGGGACGCCACUUGAUACUGCUGUGACUAGAGUCCGGUAGAGGAGAUUGGAAUUCCUGGUGUAGCGGUGAAAUGCGCAGAUAUCAGGAGGAACACCAACGGCGAAGG